CUCUUCGACGAGUCGAGUUGUUUGGGAAUGCAGCUCAAAAUGGGUGGUAAAUUUCAUCUAAAGCUAAAUACUGGCUGGAGACCGAUAGCGCACAAGUAGAGUGAUCGAAAGAUGAAAAGCACUUUGGAAAGAGAGUUAAACAGUACGUGAAAUUGUUGAAAGGGAAGCGCUUGCAACCAGACCUGCCCGUAGGCGAUCAGCUGCUGUUCUCAGCGGUGCACUCGUUCUGCGAUCAGGCCAGCAUCGGUUUCGGCGGUCGGAUAAAGGCCUUGGGAAUGUAGCUUCCUUUCGGGGGAGUUUUAUAGCCCUCGGUGCAAUGCGGCCAGCCGGGACCGAAGACCGCGCUUCGGCUAGGAUGCUGGCGUAAUGGUUGUCAGCGACCCGUCUUGAAACACGGACCAAGGAGUCUAACAUCUAUGCGAGUGUUUGGGUGUUAAACCCAUGCGCGGAAUGAAAGUGAACGGAGGUGAGAAC
rnacentral:rRNA from 1 species